UGAAUUUAUCAAUGCAAGGCCUAAGCCACUUACUAUAUAUGCCUUUACCAAAAAUGAAGAGUUCAAAAGAAAGAUUACAAAAGGAACAUCUUCAGGAAGUUUGGUGUUUAAUGAUACAAUCAUUCAAUAUGCAGCUGAUACACUUCCAUUUGGAGGAGUAGGACAAAGUGGCUUUGGAAGAUACCAUGGAAAAUUUUCAUUUGAUACAUUUAGCCAUGAAAAAGCAAUAGCAAGAAGGAGCUUUCUUACCGACAUUUGGUUUAGAUAUCCCCCUUGGAGUGAUCAUACACUACAACUCUUUAGAUCUGCUUUUAUAUAUGAUUAUCUUAGUGUAGUUCUUAUUACACUAGGACUAAAA
rnacentral:misc_RNA from 1 species